CAUUUCGGUCAUUUCACUUUAAAUCUAGAAGACUCACUUUACCAUAUCUCUAACAGUUGCCGACUUCCAAACAAACCCAUCUCUCAGUUUGCCCGCUUCCAGAAAAUACUCGGAGUUUUUUUCACCCCUUCAACUGGUUUUGCAAGUUCAGAUUUCUCAUUUUCUUGGUUGAAUUUCAUGGCUAUUGAAGGAAAGAUAAAGCUUUUAGACGAUGAAAAAAGUAACUUUUUGGUUCUCAUCUCCUGUGUUUCGUCCAUUUCCAUCUUUGGACCUAUUAGUGGAGGGCAUAAGUAUUCACAAGCUAUUGGUCUGUACACACAAGUGAUUAAGUUAAACAGUGAGAAUGUGGUGUACUGGGCUAAUCGUGUGUUUGCUCACAUCAAAUUGAAGGAAUAUUGCAGCGUAAUAGAGGACGGAGCUAAAGCUAUUGAAAUUGUCCCCAGAUAUUCAAAGGUUGAUACGGGUGCUGUGUGCUUAAUCUCUGAUGGGUUGUGAUCGGGGUUGCAGGGUUAUUAUAGGCGAGAGGCUGCAUAUUUGGCAAUGGGAAGUUCAAAGACGCAUUCAAGAAUUUUCAACAGGUUGGUAUUGUUUUUUGAACAUCUUAAGUUGUAUCAGUUGCAUAUUGCUGGUGAUAAUCAAAUUGUUCUUAUUUUUUAUUUUAAAGCUUUACUACAUAAUAUAUCUUGAGAAGAACAUUGCUUAUGUAACUAGCUACCAUAUUUAGAAGAGAAGAUAAUGCCAUACCAGUGACAUUGUUCGUGCAAUAUGUUAUUUGUGACCUUUAAGAUUCCUUGUCAAUUCUAUGCUCCAGCAACUUCCAUAUGUACUAGAUAAGUUAUCUGGAAAUACUAAUAACAUUUUGACAUCAAAUUUAAGUUCAAUGACAUUUAGUUGUAGCAGAUUAAGGUAGAAGAUGACCAAUCCCACCCUUGAACAUCUGAAGAAUUUUUUAGGCAGAAUUGGCAUAAUUAUUAUUCUUUUCUGUUUUCAUUUGCAGAAAGAAGUCAUAUGGUUGAUUCUGGUUAGUUGUCAGAGCAGGUCAUAUUUGUGGAACUUUUAGUUGCAUUAGUUGGAAAUCAGUAAACUUGAAUGAAAAACUUUUUGUUGUCCUUGACUCAACCUACAAGCUCCUAAGUCACAUAGAAUAUUAAGAAAGUGAACUUGCAUUUGUUUCUAAUUUUUCUACUAUUAUAGAAACAUGAGUUUCAGAGUAGAUCGUCGUCGACAUGCCUGCUUCAUUAAGCAGAGGGCAAUUUUGACAUUUUACCUUCUAGGUGUUGUAGCAUUAACAUACGUGUUCAACCUACUCUCAUUCCACGACACAACAUCGCUCUAGAAACAUCCUUCCUUUCAUCUUUUUUUUACACUUGAAAAAACAAUUUCUUAGUUUCAUCCGAACCUUUAAAGAGAAAUCAUCAGCUCUAUUCAAUUUCUACCUGGGUGGGUUCUCUUCAAACUCAAUUGUAUAGUGUUGUAGUCGUGCUCUCUUUGACAUACUCUGAGACUCUGUCUUUACAAGGUAAUUGCAUAGUUCGGUCUGUUCUCUUAGUUGUUCUUUAUAUUUGUCACCUAAUUGUGAUUGUAUCUUCUUGGUCUUGUAAUUUUGAUCUAGGGUUCUAAAUUGGAGAAGUCAGUAUGUUGUUACUAAGCAGAGAAGCCUAAUUAUCAGAUUCCAUGGAUGUGAAUAUGCAAAAAUGUCUUAGAAUUCUGAUAUUCCAACUUAAAGUAUGUGAAUCUUUCAAUUUCUUUGCAAAAUCUUCUUUUUUUUUAUUCUUUAAUUAUGUGUCUAUGAUGCUCUUUUAUUUAGCUUUUAGAGAGGUUUAUUUUUGUUGGGUAUAUGAUCUGAAUUUUUGGGGUUAGAUAGUAUCAGCUUGGAUUUCUUCCCCGAACACAAUUAAGGAAUUUUCGCAAUGAUUUUAGAAAUCGAAAUUCUCGCCAGAUUUUGUCCUUUUUUGUUAGUGUUCAUGGAAACACUCAUUUUUUUCUUAACCCUCUCGAAUACAAGGAUUUUCCUGGCACCAUCGUUUCUUUCUCCCUAUUACUUACAAAGUUGAUCCUCCUCCAAUAUUUGGGAAAUCUCAUUUUGUUGUGACGCUUUCAAUAGGUAAAUUAACAUCGUCUUCAUUGGACCAACCAUAUAUUCACCCAUGGACACGAUGUUACAACUAAUUGGAUCUAGAAUUUAGCCGACGCUCAUGUUUGUUCAAUUGAUGCUAACAUCCAUCAGUUGGCGACCACUGAUAACUUUUUAUAUUUUUCCAUUUAGUUAAUUACAGUAACAAAUUUAGGUAGGUCUCUUCCAUUGUUGGCUCUCACUGUGCUUUCAUAAUGUCUAAACUAUACAAAAUCUGGCCCCUUGGGAACUUUGGCUUUGACGUCGACCAUUUAAAAAUAUGGUGCUUGUGAUACAGAGGCGCUGCCUGCAGCUGUUAUUAGAAGGGGAAUGUCCAGAGGAUGCAUUAAUGCAUUCCGGGAUGAAAAUUGUGAUUGAAGAUUGCCCUUUGCAGCAGACAUCCUUCUCAUAUGGUCUAAUCAGGUGACUCAAAAAAAGCUUAUAGAUUGGUCCUUCGGAACAUAUGAGUGAUGUUAGCAACUCGAAUCAGUAGCCUGCAGAAGGAAAGCCUCUGAAGACCAGAUGUGUAGAUAAAGCCAAAGAAACACUAAUUGGUUACUUUCCUUCUGCAUCAGAGAGAAGCUUUGAGGAAUACUAUAUGAAUACAUAUG